GCAGUUGCAAGCUCUGGCAGUUGCAAGCCGAGUUGCAGACCGCCAGGCACGGGGUAUGGGUUUACACGAGCAUUCAGUCUUGCUAAUGUUGGCCUUUCGCUUACCGAGGUGCUGCAUGUGUCCAAUCUGGUGAACUUACGUGUGCUUCUUCUUCCUCGCCUAACUUUGAGCCGGCUAAAGUCGAAGAACUACUCCUAAGGUGACACCCGAACGCGUUUCCCCAGCACUCGAGCAUUCCACAUGUGCACAUUCCACGGUCGCAAACGGUUAAAUGGAACGGAUGAUACAGGGCACGGUGUAAACAGGCUGGAGGACACUUGGCCAGCAGAAGGCUCACUUACCGAGUCAUGACAAACCCGUCAGGUGGGUUGGAUAAUAAGGCACCCGUUCCAAGACCCGGUACGCAGACACCCAUCGGUUGGUAGCCAUGCCUUGCCAGCUAGUACCCGGUACAAUGACGUCAGCAGUGUGCAGUAAGAGGUUCCUGCGAAGUGAAACUAAGCGAAGGAAGAAAGCGACACUACUCCUGCUCGAAAGGACCGUUGGGAGUGAGCUUUACAACUUUGCACAGUGCCCACACACACACAGAAUGCGGUGUACUCGUUGGCUGAAUGAUACUGAUCAUCUUACAACCCCUUAAGACCGCUCGGUGUGAUCCACAAGAUCUAGCUGGCUAUUCUUAAAGGUGUGUGGAUGUGAACAAGUGAACCACUUUCACUCCCUGUAUGUGGCUUAUUGUGGAGGCAAUUUGCGUUCCACUGCGGUACGUUGUACGGUGGAAAGCUUUUCGUUAUCAGGCAGAGCAAUUGUAUGGGGAAUUGUCUCUUGAUGGUUCGUUUUGUAGAUGUUUGAUUGUGCGCAAAUGCAUGAGAAACGGAAUAAUAGAACGACAUUAAGAUGCCACACAGUAUGUCACAAUAUUGUGGUUAUCGUGAAACAGUAUUACACAAACCUCAAUAAAAAACUUUCGUUAUUAAAAAUUGAUGUAGAAAAUGCAAAAAUUAAAUACCAUUGAAUUUGUAUUGAAAAAUUAUGCGGCUGUUAUUAUCUGAAGAAUAUAAUUACUGUGCAUCUUUGAUUAGAUAUGCUAAGACAUUUAAAAGAGCAUUUAUAAUUAUUAUCAUUAUUUAAGUCCCUUAUAUCUUCCCAAGGCUAUAUAUAGCUAAUAAGAUUGAGUCAAAUUAACAGUGAUUUGUGAAGAAUAAUGUUUAAAAAAAUCAAAACUCUUUAAAAACAUCGGCUUAAUUAGGAUUAGGAUGCAGGCGGAGGAGUUGACGGAAUGUGUGAAGUGGGAUACUGAAAUCGAAGACGGAAAGAGAGGAAUUUUUGAGGCGUAUGGACCGAAGGAAAAUGUCAUUAAAAUCAUAUCUAAAACAAAUAGCGACAAGAAACAUAAACAUUCAACGGAGAAACAUGAAGCAUCGAUUGAGUUAAGUAGCGAUGUAUGUAGUUGGGACCAUGUCUAUUGACGGUCCAAAGAGUUUCGGUCCAAAGAGAGAUAAACCAAAAUUCUUGUCAAAGCUUUUUGGUCUUCUUCUAUGCGAUUGGUCUGUGUUGAACUACUUAGACAUCAUGCAACGUUCGCAUAUCCCAAGAAAGAUCGCACAAUCGCAAAGUAGAGAGACAUCCCUGAGACAUCUUUAGGAGUCAUCGCUUUAAGAGUCGCAUGCAUUUAAAUGUAGCGACUGAACGAUAACACACAGCAUUUCUCAACACAUAGUUUUAACGAAUAAGCCUGUAUAGGUUGGCCUAGGUUUCUUAUAUUCUUUCGACUAGGUCAUUGAAGUAAGAUGCACCAGAC